UACGUAGGGUGCGAGCGUUGUCCGGAAUUAUUGGGCGUAAAGAGCUUGUAGGCGGUCUGUCGCGUCUGCUGUGAAAAUCCGGGGCUCAACCCCCGGACUUGCAGUGGGUACGGGCAGACUAGAGUGUGGUAGGGGAGACUGGAAUUCCUGGUGUAGCGGUGAAAUGCGCAGAUAUCAGGAGGAACACCGGUGGCGAAGGCGGGUCUCU
rnacentral:rRNA from 1 species